rnacentral:lncRNA from 1 species
CGACUCUAAAACUGCAAAACUGAAAAGAUAAGGGGUGAGCAUAUUGAAAAUAUACUCAGUGAGGAACAUAACAAAAUAUUCAUAUAUGUCACAUAUAUAAUUAAAUCACAUUAUCAUACUUGCAAACAUACGCCAAGAGACUAGAGCCCCUUGACAAACAUAAUCAUAGUUUGAGUCGAUGGCUUAAGUCCCAUGACCAAACACAUACAUAAAUCAAUGGCUUAGGUCCCAUGAUCGAUCAAUGGCUUAGGUCCCAUGAUCACACAUAACAACAUAGAUCAUGGCUUAGGUCCCAUGAUCACACAUAACAACAUAGAUCAUGGCUUAGGUCCCAUGAUCGCACAUAACAACAUAGAUCAAUGGCUUAGGUCCCAUGAUCGCACAUAACAACAUAGAUCAAUGGCUUAGGUCCCAUGAUCACACAUAACAACAUAGAUCAUGGCUUAGGUCCCAUGAUCACACAUAACAACAUAGAUCAUGGCUUAGGUCCCAUGAUCGCACAUAACAACAUAAUCAUAAGAUGCACGUAAACAAGUAAUCAAACGCGAUAAUAAAAACAUAUAUAACUAUAUGAAUAAGCGUAAAAUCCCUCACCUUAAAGUCGAAGCUAAAUAAAUCAAAUCCGGAAUGAAGGUCUUAAUAGCGCCGCACCAGAAGAAUUCGUCAAAAUCGCAGCUGAACAGACCAGUCAGCUUCAAGCCUUCGUUUGAAGUCUCAAACGUCCUCAAAUCGUAUUUUGCCCAGAAAUACGACUUCUUCCUCUUCGAGAGAGCUUUUCGUGGCCGCCUGUUUCGCUUGAAUCGGAGUUCUGUGGAGGAAGUUAUGGCCGUUCUCCCGAAACUGCCAGAAUUUGAUUUCCUGCGAAAAUCUGACUCUACACGUUUCUGGCCCUCUCUGCUCUCUAAAACCCUAAUUAAUUAGUGUGUCCGUCUCCUUUAGGGUUUGAAAAUAGAUCCCAUAUUUAUACUAGUUUCU